rnacentral:tRNA from 1 species
GGGCCCAUAGCUCAGCGGCAGAGCAGGUGACUCAUAAUCACUUGGUCGGAGGUUCGAACCCUUCUGGGCCCA